rnacentral:tRNA from 1 species
GCCCGCCUAGCUCAAUCGGAUAGAGCGUCAGACUCUUAAUUAACAUUUUUCAGCGGAUCUGCGAUUCGCAAAUGACGAGCGCUCAGCGAUUCGAGCUCGGGUACGAUUGAGCUCAGGUACAGCCUGUACAAGGCUGCGAGUUCGACCCUCGCGGUGGGCA